rnacentral:misc_RNA from 1 species
GAAAUGCGAUAAGUAAUGUGAAUUGCAGAAUUCAGUGAAUCAUCGAAUCUUUGAACGCACAUUGCGCCCGCCAGUAUUCUGGCGGGCAUGCCUGUCCAAGCGUCAUUUCAACCAUCAAGCCCCCGGGCUUGUGUUGGGGACCUGCGGCUGCCCGCAGGCCCUGAAAACCAGUGGCGGGCUCGCUGUCACACCGAGCGUAGUAGCAAUCACCUCGCUCAGGGCGUGCUGCGGGUUCCGGCCGUUAAACAGCCUUACAAAACCCAAGGUUGACCUCGGAUCAGGUAGGAAGACCCGCUGAACUUAAGC